rnacentral:rRNA from 1 species
GAUGAACGCUGGCGGCGUGCCUAAUACAUGCAAGUCGAGCGAACAGACGAGGAGCUUGCUCCUCUGACGUUAGCGGCGGACGGGUGAGUAACACGUGGAUAACCUACCUAUAAGACUGGGAUAACUUCGGGAAACCGGAGCUAAUACCGGAUAAUAUAUUGAACCGCAUGGUUCAAUAGUGAAAGACGGUUUUGCUGUCACUUAUAGAUGGAUCCGCGCCGCAUUAGCUAGUUGGUAAGGUAACGGCUUACCAAGGCAACGAUGCGUAGCCGACCUGAGAGAGUGAUCGGCCACACUGGAACUGAGACACGGUCCAGACUCCAACGGGAGGCAGCAGUAGGGAAUCUUCCGCAAUGGGCGAAAGCCUGACGGAGCAACGCCGCGUGAGUGAUGAAGGUCUUCGGAUCGUAAAACUCUGUUAUUAGGGAAGAACAAAUGUGUAAGUAACUAUGCACGUCUUGACGGUACCUAAUCAGAAAGCCACGGCUAACUACGUG